rnacentral:rRNA from 1 species
GGCCAGACUCCUACGGGAGGCAGCAGUCGGGAAUAUUGCGCAAUGGAGGAAACUCUGACGCAGUGACGCCGCGUAUAGGACGAAGGUCUUCGGAUUGUAAACUAUUGUCGUUAGGGAAGAGAAAGGACAGUACCUAAGGAGGAAGCUCCGGCUAACUACGUGCCAGCAGCCGCGGUAAUACGUAGGGAGCAAGCGUUAUCCGGAUUUAUUGGGUGUAAAGGGUGCGUAGACGGUCCUGCAGGCCAGAUGUGAAAGCCCGGGGCUCAACCCCGGGACUGCAUUUGGAACUGUAAGGCUAGAGUGUCGGAGAGGCAGGCGGAAUUCCUAGUGUAGCGGUGAAAUGCGUAGAUAUUAGGAGGAACACCAGUGGCGAAGGCGGCCUGCUGGACGAUGACUGACGUUGAGGCUCGAAAGCGUGGGGAGCAAACAGGAUUAGAUACCCGAGUACCG